rnacentral:rRNA from 1 species
CGGACGGGUGAGUAACACGUGGGUAACCUACCUAUAAGACUGGGAUAACUUCGGGAAACCGGAGCUAAUACCGGAUAACAUUUGGAACCGCAUGGUUCUAAAGUGAAAGAUGGUUUUGCUAUCACUUAUAGAUGGACCCGCGCCGUAUUAGCUAGUUGGUAAGGUAACGGCUUACCAAGGCGACGAUACGUAGCCGACCUGAGAGGGUGAUCGGCCACACUGGAACUGAGACACGGUCCAGACUCCUACGGGAGGCAGCAGUAGGGAAUCUUCCGCAAUGGGCGAAAGCCUGACGGAGCAACGCCGCGUGAGUGAUGAAGGGUUUCGGCUCGUAAAACUCUGUUAUUAGGGAAGAACAAAUGUGUAAGUAACUGUGCACGUCUUGACGGUACCUAAUCAGAAAGCCACGGCUAACUACGUGCCAGCAGCCGCGGUAAUACGUAGGUGGCAAGCGUUAUCCGGAAUUAUUGGGCGUAAAGCGCGCGUAGGCGGUUUCUUAAGUCUGAUGUGAAAGCCCACGGCUCAACCGUGGAGGGUCAUUGGAAACUGGGAAACUUGAGUGCAGAAGAGGAAAGUGGAAUUCCAUGUGUAGCGGUGAAAUGCGCAGAGAUAUGGAGGAACACCAGUGGCGAAGGCGACUUUCUGGUCUGUAACUGACGCUGAUGUGCGAAAGCGUGGGGAUCAAACAGGAUUAGAUACCCUGGUAGUCCACGCCGUAAACGAUGAGUGCUAAGUGUUAGGGGGUUUCCGCCCCUUAGUGCUGCAGCUAACGCAUUAAGCACUCCGCCUGGGGAGUACGACCGCAAGGUUGAAACUCAAAGGAAUUGACGGGGACCCGCACAAGCGGUGGAGCAUGUGGUUUAAUUCGAAGCAACGCGAAGAACCUUACCAAAUCUUGACAUCCUUUGAAAACUCUAGAGAUAGAGCUUUCCCCUUCGGGGGACAAAGUGACAGGUGGUGCAUGGUUGUCGUCAGCUCGUGUCGUGAGAUGUUGGGUUAAGUCCCGCAACGACGCAACCCUUAAGCUUAGUUGCCAUCAUUAAGUUGGGCACUCUAGGUUGACUGCCGGUGACAAACCGGAGGAAGGUGGGGAUGACGUCAAAUCAUCAUGCCCCUUAUGAUUUGGGCUACACACGUGCUACAAUGGACAAUACAAAGGGCAGCUAAACCGCGAGGUCAUGCAAAUCCCAUAAAGUUGUUCUCAGUUCGGAUUGUAGUCUGCAACUCGACUACAUGAAGCUGGAAUCGCUAGUAAUCGUAGAUCAGCAUGCUACGGUGAAUACGUUCCCGGGUCUUGUACACACCGCCCGUCACACCACGAGAGUUUGUAACACCCGAAGCCGGUGGAGUAACCAUUUAUGGAGCUAGCCGUCGAAGGUGGGACAAUGAUUGGGU